UGUUUCCGUGUGCUCUGAGAUUCUCAUGGACAAGUUUGCUGUGUUGGUCUCUGAAAGCUCCAUUUAACAACAGAACUCAGUCUCUAUUAGAAGUUUGAAAAGCUUAGUGACUUUCUGCUACUCAAGACAUGACACUUCCAUUCCGAAAAGAUUUGGACAAGUACAAGGAUCUUGAUGAGGAUGACAUUCUUGGCAAGCUAUCAGAAGAAGAGCUGAAACAACUGGAAACUGUUCUGGAUGACCUUGACCCUGAGAAUGCACUUUUGCCAGCAGGCUUCCGACAGAAAGACCAGACUACUAAAAAGGCCUCAGGUGCUUUUGACAGAGAGGGACUCCUUGCUUAUUUGGAGAAGGAAGCACUGGAACAAGAAGACAGGGAGGAUUUUGUUCCUUUUACAGGGGAAAAGAAAGGGAAAAUAUUUAUCCCCAAACAGAAGCCUGUACAGUCUUUCAUAGAAGAAAAAGUCUCUCUUGAUCCAGAACUGGAGGAAGCUUUGACAAGUGCCACAGAUACAGAACUGUGUGACCUUGCAGCUAUCCUGGGAAUGCACAACUUGAUAACAAACACUCAGUUCUGUGACAUAGUAGGAAGUAGUAAUGGUGUCAGCAAUGAAAGCUUCACAGAUACCGUAAAAGGUGAAAGGAUGAUACCAUUUUCAGAUGAACCACCAAAUCCCACACAUGUAGAGGAGAGUUUGCAAAGGAUUAAAGAUAAUGACUCUCGUCUUGAUGAAGUUAAUCUGAACAAUAUAAAGAACAUCCCAAUUCCAACACUGAAAGAAUUUGCUAAGGCUUUGGAAACCAACACCCAUGUGAAGAAUUUCAGCCUUGCAGCGACUCGAAGCAAUGACCCUGUUGCUGUUGCUUUUGCAGAUAUGCUGAGAGUGAACAAAAACUUGAAAAGUCUAAAUAUAGAAUCAAAUUUCGUCACUGGGGUUGGCAUUAUGGCACUGAUUGAUGCACUAAAAGAGAAUGAAACCCUGACAGAGGUCAAAAUCGAUAACCAGAGGCAGCAGUUGGGAACACCUGUAGAAAUGGAAAUUGCCAAAAUGCUUGAGGAGAACACAAAUAUCCUUAAAUUUGGAUACCAUUUCACACAACAGGGGCCACGAACCAGGGCAGCUGCAGCUAUUACAAAAAAUAAUGAUUUGGUCUGGAGUAUACGAAUAAAAUUUUCUGCAAAAGCCUUUUCAUCUCUCCAGCCUUGAAGCUACAGAGACAGGUUAUUGUGAAUACCCAGUUGGGUACUGAGCUCUGAAAUUGAAAUGUUUAGUCUCACAUCACUGUCUUUUUCGCAAGAGAAGGGUUGAAGGAGACUACCAGUAAACCAUGCUGCUGCUAGAAUUGCAUUGUGUGAAGAUUUCAGAGGUCCUCAAGGUGCAUCUGCUAAUCAUGGGUGUUGGCAAUCUCAGACUUCAUUUAUUUGGGUAGAAGGGAAAAGACUGGAAACCCCAUUCCUUUUUAGUAAAGUUAUGUUUAGAUCUGUGUAAUAUGCAUCACGUAUUUCAUUUUGUGACAUAGUAACUGCACUAGACUUUGCAAGAUCGGUUUUUUGAGAACUUUUUUAUAUUCAAGACUUUAGCUAUACUUUCCACUAAAAUAAUGUAAAUUUUGUAAUCAGUGGAGUAGUUGUCUGUAUUCAAAGAAUGAUACAUGAAGGGAUCAAUGGGCAAACAAUGGAGUAUGUUUCUGAUAGGAAAGCUGGGGAUGGUUAUUUAAAUGGCAGGAUUUGUAUAUUUUUGAGAACAAUGUUUUAGAGAAAAGGGAUUCUUAACACAGAACAAUUGGACUCUUAUUUUGUAGCUAUUACUUCAGCCUUCUUGUUAAUAUACACUGAACUUAAAUCUUUCACAGCUGUCACAGUUGCAGUUCCUUUUUGUCUUGAUUCAAUAAUAUGCUUUAUUGAUACUUUGAUAAAGCUCGAAAGUCAUCCCUUUUCUGAUGAAAACGUGAAUUGAAUAAGGGUUGUUUCUGCUCUCCAAUACAUUUGGAGGAGAACUAAUUAAAAGACGAGGGUGGGUGUCUUGAAAAAUCAACAUCUGUACUAAACCAAAAAAGCCUCCAAAGGAGCUUACAUUUCUGAAUAUUCUAAAAGACUGUACUUUGUUCUGAUAUGUUUAAACUGGACAUCUUUAGAUUGACUUAGUACAUUCAUCAGCAUUGUUUUAGAUUAUAUUCUUGUAUAAAAAUGUAUAUCUAAAUACCUUAAAUGACAUAGGAGUUUUCUAGCAGUAGUGAACAUGCAUUCUUUAAGAAAUGCUGAUAGUAUGCUUAGGAAAAGCAGUCCUGUGCAGCUCUGAAAUCAUAUACGUAAUCUCCUGUGGCGGGUUGCAACUGAGAAAUUCUGUUAAACUAAAAACAGCUGUCAACCAUACUUCCUGUGAAAUAGUGACCACUGUACUAGACGGAUCUUUACCUUCCACUCUGAUGAAGGGUCCUCUUGUUCCAUCAUCACAACGUGUUAUGCAGAAACUUAACAAAUGUAGUAUCUAAUUUGCUUUGGAUAUUAGAUCCAUGCUGUUACUCCAAGCCAUUUAUUUUAAAGAGAAAUAUUUAGAGCUCUUUAUCUAGGAAAACAAAUUAGCAAACAAAAGUCACUGCAGUUUCCGUACAUAACAGCUGUGGACUCCUUUGUAAUAUUACGAAACUUAGGUUUUAUUUUGAUUGUGCUAUUUUUGAAUUGCACUAUACUUGAUUGCACAGUGUUGAUCAUUGGACCAUAACAGAAGUAAAAGCAUGUUCUAAGGAAUUGGACAGUCUAUUUACAGUGACUUAUAUAAUUCAACUGACUUAACUGUCCAGUAUCCAUAAAAUUAACAUAAAUACCGUAAGUUUUUGUAAAAGCCAUAUAUAGGUGGUGUGGAGAAAAAUGAGAUUUUUGUAUCGUGCUGUACGUAGAGUUUUACAAUGUACAAAUUUUUCUUUAGAAUAAUCCCCUAUUAUUGUGCCCGCUUCUGCGCUACUACAAAUCAUGUUUUAGGUCUUUAAAAAAUACAGACUUCAAUCUGAAAAUGAAUUAAAAUUUUAUGGCAAGUACACAGCGACUUUUAAACUAUAGUACCUUCAUUGAAGAUAUAAGUAAUUAGGCUUUUACAAGGGUGGAAAGAUGAACUAUCAUUUCAAAAUUGGAAAUGUUGUGGUUAAUUCUGAAUAAACAUCAGUGUCUUAUGGCCUAAAAGACAUGGAUGUAACUGUGUAAAAAUGAAAGGAAGUUGGAAUGAAUUCUAUUGAAAAACCAAAGAUUUCCUGCACUGCACAUUUUUGAAUGAACAGAAAUAUGAUGGUGUUGGUCAUAAAGACUCCUUUUGCCUUUGGUUUACGAUAUUUAAAUUUUUUACAUAAUUUAAGCAGACUUUGUUGUGUGAAUGCUAUCCCAAAGUUUAAGUUCUUAUACAUUUACAUGCAAACAUAUAUUAAAAGCUAAGUGUUUUUUCAAGAGAUGGUGCUAUUCAGGUGUGGCCAAAACAUGGUAUACAUGUAUUAAGUUGUCUGAAACUAUUUUACGGUGCCUAAUGUUUAAAACACCAAGGAAUCAUUUUUGUAUCAAAUAAGCAGGCUGUAAAACCUUCUCUUCCUUCUGUUGUCAAAGGGUUGCAUAUUUAUAAAAUCUAAUUUUUGUAAUAUCUGUUUGAUCAGCCUCUAGGCAAAUUAGCCAGUUAUUUUAUAUUUGUAACUGAAGAUAGAGGAGGAAAAUGAAAGGCGAUGAGGUGGGGAGAGAAUUGGUAAUGAAAAGCAUUUUUUCUUCUCUACGCUACUUGUUUGAGUUAUAUCUGGCUCACCAGUGGCAUAAGUGGAAAUCAGUGGUUGGUUGAAGACGUAGUGGUCAGGAGUCGGGUCACAGUUGAAAGUAAUGGGUAUCUUUGUGCCAGAUCCUUAAUAGCAUUGCCCCAGUGAAAUAAAUUUAGUAGCUCUGUUGUGAACGGCUGAGGCUAGACACGUGGUGGCAAUCGUAGCAGAGAAAUCAGACAGAUUGGACAUGGAGAAUUAACCAUAGGUGCUUGUCCCUCCAAGUUAGGUUUGAGGCACAUUUGGCAGGGCAAUAUGAAGAUGCUUUAAUUGCUGCCUGUAAUUUACCUUGCGUGUGGAUAAAUGAAGGAAUCCAGUCUCCAGAGCUGUCAAAUACCAUAAUCCAACUCAGCAAGCAAAGCUGACUUUUUGAUUUACUGGCUUCAAAUAUAUAGUAAGGUCUUGGGUAUGAUGAGCUCAUAUUUUAUGGGUGGUAUUACUUUAGCAAUAAAUUACCAUAAAAACCAGGCUGCUUUCAAAAAAGAGGUGGUGAUUAUGUGCUUUUUUUUUUUAGUCUAAUUGAUUCAUGGUUAAUUCACUUUUUUUGAAAUAUGCUCUAAAUCUGGAAAA